AUGCCAAGAGAGGCGCCUCCGCCGCUCCUUUCUCAUGGAAAUGGCCCGCGAGCCCGGCCGGCGCGGCGCCCCUCCCGCGGGAGGAAGGCGAGCCCGGCCCCCGGCGGCCCCUCGCGCCGCGGACAAAUCCGACGAACAAUGAGCCCGCCCAGAGGGCGGCCCAGCUGCCGGGCCGGGGACCUGGCCGCGGGACACAAAGGGGCCCGCAUGUCUCGGGAGUCGCGGGGCGGGUGGAGGCGACCGAGGGGGAAGCCUGCGGCCCGGACGAAGCUGCGGCCACCCGGCCAUAGCCCUCGGCCACGUGCGCCCGCAGCACGGAGCGCCAAAGAGCCCAGAGGGUGGCGGGGACCGAGAGGGCAUCCGAGGGAGCGCGGGGGCCGGGAGACAAAGGGAGGGUCCGCGGGGAGCGGCGGAGUGGGGGGUGGGAGCCGGCGGGGGGUGGGGGUGCGCCACGCGCCGGGGAAUCGGCAGCCGCGGGGGCUCGGUUUGGGGAGGUCCGGCCACCCCGCGGGCGGGUCGGGGCGCUGUCCGCGGUGCUGGCGGCGGGGCGGCCCCUCGGGACAGGAGCCACGGGCGCGGGGCCACCUGCGUCCCGAGGGCCACUCGCCCCAACUGGCAGGCGCUCUGGGCAGUUGCCAUGGCAACGAGGGAGGGGGUGGGGUAGGGUCUGAGGUCAUUGCAAAGUCUCCCUGCUCAGUCCCCGCGGCGGUGGGGUGGGGGGUGGCCCUUACUGAGCUCCUGGACCUGCCCCCGGGCCUCGAGGAGGAGGAGACUCGAAAUGGGGGCGGGGGGAGGGGACACGUCUACACCUGCGUCCAGGGUCCAAACAAGGACAGGUGGAUGCGCCGGACCGCAGCCCGCUCCAAACCUCACUCUAGACUGUGUGGGACCCAGGCACGUGAGGCUCUGCAGCCCAGGGGGAGGAUGGCAGUCCCUCCCCCACCAUCUGCAGCCGCAGUGACACCCACUCAGGUUUGCUGCAGGCAUUUUUUUUCUGUCCUCAGGAGCCAGCGCCACCUGCUGGCACCCUGGCCCAAGCUGGGCCGCCACCUCCUCCUGCCUCCCUUCACCAGCCAGGCUCCCCUAUCCCCGGGCUCCCCUACCAGCAACAGCGCCUUGGGUCACUCAGCUGCAGGGCUGUGCUGCUCAGGCCGAUACAGUGACGGUCAGUGGGGGAGGUGA
rnacentral:lncRNA from 1 species